rnacentral:rRNA from 1 species
AUUGAACGCUGGCGGCAGGCCUAACACAUGCAAGUCGAACGGUAACAGGAAGAAGCUUGCUUCUUUGCUGACGAGUGGCGGACGGGUGAGUAAUGUCUGGGAAACUGCCUGAUGGAGGGGGAUAACUACUGGAAACGGUAGCUAAUACCGCAUAACGUCGCAGGACCAAAGAGGGGGACCUUCGGGCCUCUUGCCAUCGGAUGUGCCCAGAUGGGAUUAGCUAGUAGGUGGGGUAACGGCUCACCUAGGCGACGAUCCCUAGCUGGUCUGAGAGGAUGACCAGCCACACUGGAACUGAGACACGGUCCAGACUCCUACGGGAGGCAGCAGUGGGGAAUAUUGCACAAUGGGCGCAAGCCUGAUGCAGCCAUGCCGCGUGUAUGAAGAAGGCCUUCGGGUUGUAAAGUACUUUCAGCGGGGAGGAAGGGAGUAAAGUUAAUACCUUUGCUCAUUGACGUUACCCGCAGAAGAAGCACCGGCUAACUCCGUG